CUACGGGGUGCUGCAGUGGGGAAUAUUGCACAAUGGAGGAAACUCUGAUGCAGCAACGCCGCGUGGAGGAUGACACUUUUCGGAGCGUAAACUCCUUUUAUAUAGGAAGAAGAUGACGGUACUAUAUGAAUAAGCGCCGGCUAACUCCGUGCCAGCAGCCGCGGUAAUACGGAGGGCGCAAGCGUUACUCGGAAUCACUGGGCGUAAAGAGCGUGUAGGCGGAUUAAAAAGUCAGAAGUGAAAUCCUAUAGCUUAACUAUAGAACUGCUUCUGAAACUCUUAAUCUAGAAUAUGGGAGAGGUAGAUGGAAUUUCUGGUGUAGGGGUAAAAUCCGUAGAGAUCAGAAGGAAUACCGAUUGCGAAGGCGAUCUACUAGAACAUUACUGACGCUCAGAUGCGAAAGCAUGGGGAGCAAACAGGAUUAGAUACCCCUGUAGUC
rnacentral:rRNA from 1 species